rnacentral:rRNA from 1 species
AGCGAACGCUGGCGGCAUGCUUUACACAUGCAAGUCGAACGGUAACAGGCCUUCGGGUGCUGACGAGUGGCGGACGGGCGCGUAAUGAACCGGAAAGUACCCAGAGGUGGGGGUUAACGUAGCGAAAGCUGUGCUAAUAUCGCAUGUGAUCUGAGGUUGAACGCGGGGGAGCGAGCAGCAAUGUUUGGCCUCGCGCCGUUGGACCGGCCGAUGUUGGAUUAGCUAGUUGGGGGGGUAAAGGCCUACCAAGGAGCCGAUCGGAAGCCGGUCUGUGUGGACGGCAGCCCACAUGGGGAGUGAGACACGGCCCAUAGUCCUGCGGUAGGGCACAGUGUGGAAUUUUAGGCAAUGGGGGCGAGCCUGAUCCAGCGAGACCGCGUGUGGCGAGAAGGCCUUCGGGUUGUAAACCGCUUUUGGCAGUAGCGAAACGGUGUCCGCUAAUACCGGGCGAUAAUGACGGUACCUGCAGAAUAAGCACCGGCUAACUACGUG